GGACUCCAGUGGACUUUCCAGAGCGCCCGGAGGAAGCUGGAACGCUGGCCGGGCUGAGCUGCACUACCUUCGCAAUUCAAAUGAGAGACGCUGUGUCAGCCUUUGACAGUUGUGUGUGUGCAGGAGAGGCAGAGAGAAGAAACUCCAAGCUCUGUCAGGCAGAACGAGAGUCCUGAUUCUCUCUCAGGCUUGUGGGAUAUACAGCAGUGACACAGUCCUGUGGUGCCACAGAGCCCACAGAUCCAGAAUCCAAUGGUUUGAUGGCCCCAAGACAGGGCAGUGGGGGACUUGUAGGUCCUCCAGCAGGCGUGCCUCUCCCCUUCCUCCUACUCCUCCUCCUUUGUGGCCAGACACUACAUGCCCAGGGUCAAGGGUCAAUCCACAGAUACCACAGGAGCCAACCCCUCUCCAGAGAUGGCAGAUGACAGGGAUUCUCCUCCAGAAAAGAAGUCUGCCGUGGCUGAGCUUUUUGGGGAGUUGUUCACGACCCAGGAGCAGGGAACCAAGUCAAAGGUCAAGGUCAUGGAG
rnacentral:lncRNA from 1 species